AUGCACCUUUACUUGUCUUUUCUGUCAACCCCCCCCCCCCUCACUUCUUUACGAUAACUCAGUGUAGUUGACAAAUUUUAAAAAAAAUUGGAUUGUGUGCUGAUUUUUUUAUUGCACAGAUCUUGGUCUAAGGUCAAGUAUUGGAAGGUCUAUGUUGGUAAGUUGUUUACAAGGUAUGCUGGACCAGAAAUGCUCUCAUUUUACCAGCAUAUCUACAUUCCAAACCACAUCUGUGGUCAGGAGUUUUGUGUGGUAAUGAGGUCGUAGAUACAAAUGGCAAAAUGAGGUCCCUCCAUAUAGUUACUGUGUUUACUCUGAGCUGUGGUUCACAAAGUGGGAGUACCCAAGGGGAUGUGGAGGUACUACGGGAGAGUGGUAAGAUGAUUUCCAUACAUUUGGUAAAGUUUUAAAAUAUUACAAAUUGCAUAUUUUAACCUUACUGGGUUACAAAAGAUUAAAAAAAAUGUAGUGAGUCUGCUGCUUCUACAUCCUGAUUGUUUAUGAUGCGUCAGUUGUAGAUGUACUGUACUGUGUACAGUACUGUGGUUGUUAGGCUGUUGUGUUUUUGUGUUGUUGUAAGACCUGUGUUUCCACCAUAGACUGCUUUGAACAGGGCUUUCUAUAUUUCAAACAUAAAAAGCCUGGGGAUAGUGGGGAUCACAAGUUUUUGGCACUGUUAUUUUGGGGGUUAGAUUUUUGAAAGAACUCAGAACCCCUGUCUUAGAGAAUCCUACUCCUACCCUUUCAGCCUUGAAUACACUCCCUUGUGGAUACGCACAUGGACAACUGUGGGCACCACAGAUGGUAUAUGUUGCUAUUUUACUACUUGUCAGCAGCAAGGUACUUGGAAGACUCUGUUCCUGAUAUGGACAGUCAGGCGUAAUACUUUUAAGUAUGUGCACCAUUGCCCCUUGUGACAUAAUCCACUCAGAUGCCAAUUUUGGCCUCCUGUGCAGACUCUGGCAGCCUGGGGAGAUUAAAUUUACAUCAUGAGGACCAUCACAUACUCAUUUACAUGAGUACCAUACUGCCCUUAGAUUGUGCAAGAAGCUCUGAGUAGAACUGCUUUUUCUUUAAGUCAAGAGAACUGGUAGAAAACUCUUGAAUAGAAAAUGCUCGUGGGAUUAUUUCAUUGGCUUUGGCAAGACAUCUGGAUACCACAGAAGGAAAUGUAAGACAUUACUGUGGAAAACAUCUGGACUGCCUUCGUGGCUUGCAGCCUCCAUGCUCUGGCAAUGGAUACCAGGUAGAAAAUGAAAAAGCUGUAUUGAGUAAUAAAGGUUUAAUAAGUGUUUUUCUUUAUACACUAAUUCUCACCACGUAACAGCAAUUGGUUGGCUGUCUGAUUUGCUGGAGGUUAUAACUCUUGAAUGUUCUUCCUUUAUGAGGAACAAAUUCAGUGCUGCUUGAUGCUUCUUAGUUAAAUAUAAAUACAUACUCACAUUCACAGUUCGACAUUUAGAUGAAUAUGUUGCCCCUUAGAGGGUUCUGUAGAUUUUUGUUUUCUAAUAGUAUCAGUUUGUAGAUUAGCAUUUAGAGCAGAUAACAUCCAUUUCCAUCCAUUUCUCAAUGGAUUGCUUUCAUGUAAGCAAAGCAGAAGCAUAAUUUUGUUACAUUCCUGAUGCAGAGACUCAGGUGCAGGCAAUGAAGACACAACAGAAUUCUAAUACAAAAAUAUUUAUUACAGAAAUAGGGUAUUUUAUCGAAACAGAACUGACAAAAUUGAAAACGACUAAACUCAAGAAGGACCCCUAAAGGGCUGGAGAUAUACAACAACUAGAAGACUAAGGCUACGUUCAUACUGCAGGGCUUAAUGCCAAUUUUUUUUGUGAAAUCCGAUUUUUUUUUUUUGCGAGUUCGUUCACAUUUCCAAUUAAAUGCGACUUGUAUGUGAUCUCCUGUUUGAACCUCACAUGACCUAGCUUGAAAAAUCCAAACUGAAUCUCCAUGUAAUCUCCUAUCUCCAUGUUAGGAGAUACAGGAGAAUCAGUUUGGCAUUGGGCGAACUGAAUCGCGUUUCCCUCCCAGGACAGUUUGGUACGAUCAAUCAUAGCACGGGAGGCGGGAGUUAAUGCUGCGUCAUCUUCAGCACCUGGAUUACCCAUAAAACACCUGCGCACCUCCCGUAACCAAACACCAACAUUCAAGAUGGCGACCGCAACACAUCGAUCUUUUACCACCACUCUUUCUUCUGUUUUGAAUGAGCUAGAUUUGACCUUAAAACCACAGCAAGAAGUAGCUUUGAGGGCUUUUCUUUUUUCUUUGCUACACUACCGACAGGAUUUGGAAAAAGUCUGAUUUAUCAGCUUGCUCCACUCGUAGCUAAGAAAAUGGGCCUGUAUGCUAAUCUGGUCGUGGUUGUUGUUUCACCACUCGUGGCACUGAUGGAACAACAAGUAAAGGAUGCGAGUACAUUUGGGGUCACUGCUAUGCAGCUUGGUGCAGUGACAAAGACAUUUUCAGCGGUCAAGCUCAGUUGUUGUUUGGAAGUCCGGAGGCAUGGUUGCUAAAUGAUAAAUGGUGUAACUUAUUGUCUAGCCAAAUGGAUCUUGUUGGUGUCAUAGUGGACGAGGUUCACCUGACAUACAAAUGGUACGUAUUUUUUGUUUCUGCAAAAUUACUUGAUCCAUAAUACCAAGGCUAAAAAUGUAAACAUUCUAAUAUAAAUGCUUUUGCCACCAGGGGCCAAGCUGCAAAGGGCAGGCGUGCUUUCAGAGACAGUUUCUCAAGGCUGGCUGAACUGCGAUCCAUGGUCAAAGCUGGUACACCAAUAUUGGCACUGACAGCUUCUGCAGACCUGAAAUCGAGAGCAAUGGUGAUAAGGCAGCUACUUCUGGACAACCCAAUGGUUUUGACAGAGUCCUAACAGAUCGAACAUCAGACUUGGAGUCCAGCGUAUUUCUGGAGAUUCUCUGGACUGUCUGGACUGGAUUGUAGAGGAGCUAAAAGACAAAAGGCUGUCGAUGUCUCCGAUAAUAAUUUACUGUCGGACAUUAAAAGCAGUUGGGAGAGUCUUCUGCUAUUUAAAAGCAGAAUUGGGUGAGGAUUCUUGGGUUGACAGGGAUCCGGAGCACAAACUUGAGAACUUGCUUGUUGGCAUGUAUCAUAGUAAAACGCUUUCAGAAAAUAAAAAUUACGUGCUAUCCUCUUUCAGCGGAAAUGGCAAUUGUAGAGUUGUGGUGGCCACAACAGCUCUUGGUAUGGGAUUAAAUUUUCCUAAUGUGUCCCAUGUAGUUUUAUACGGUGUACCUGAGGAUGUGGACGUCAUUGUUCAGGAGAUUGGCAGGGCGGGGAGAAACGGGGCGCAGUCACAUGCUGUGAUUUACAGUAUUAAACAAAAUACAAAUGUGGAUGACACAGUAAAAGAGCUGCUGAAUGUAGCCCUGAGUAGAAGCAUCCGAAAAGCUUUGUACAGUCAUUUUGAUGAAGAUCCCUCAUCUGUUCUUCCAGGACAUUUGUGCUGUACAUAUUGUCACUUAAAAUGUGUCUGCCACCCUGACGGGUGCAAGGAGCCCUUGCCUUUGUAUGAGCGACCCCGAAGUGACGCAUCUGUAUUCACUAAAAGUAGAGGUAACGGAUGAUGACAGAGUACUGUUAAGAGAUUUGCUGGAGCAAUACCAAGACCAUUUGCUUCAUGAAACUACACACCUUUGUACGAGUAAAACUGCUUGCACUGGUUUUGGUGUAGAACUCAUUGAGACCAUCAUAGAGCACAGUUCCAGAAUCUUUGAUGUGUCUUACAUAACUUCACACCUUCCAGUUUUGCAUACAAGCAUGCUGAAGGUAUUCUCAGAAUAGUUCAAGAGGUUUUUGAGGAUAUUGAAAACUGUCCAAGUCCAGCAGAUUCUGACAUUGAUUCCUUUUCGAUUCCUGAUAUAAAUUACAGCGGGUACUUUGAUGUAGAAGAGACCCAGGGUGCGUCAUCACUCAGCAGUUCAGAGUCAGGAAUAGCUCCAUUGGAAUGCUCAUACUGAUUUUCAUUUACUUUUUUUUGUAAUUACUGUGAAUGAAGAUAUUCUCAUUCAUGCCUUUUCAGAUAAUGUCUAAAACAACUUGUAUUUCUUACGAAACCAUUUGAAUAUAUCCCUAAAUGUUGAAUUACAAGUUUCUUUGAUGUGAACUACAUGAUGAAUAAAUAUUAAACAUUUUAAAUGA